GUCACUCUCCUGUUGUACUGUGUAACAAUCAGGCCCAGAAUUUUGGAGAAGGGACUCGACUCUCUGUUCUAGGUAAGCUACAGAACCAAAGAGAUGGGGCUACUGUCCCUUAGAGCCAGAGUGUCUGUGAACCCCCAGCACUGGUGGAAGGGGUCGAGGAAUUUAGUUAUUCUUUUACUUGCUGGGGUCUAAAAGGCUCCUCUAACCCCCUUAUGACAAGGUGAACCCGCAACUGCUUCUUUCCCCAGAAGUCUUCAAUCUCUGAGUGGUCUCCUUCCUAUCCCCAGCGUGAUCUUACCUUUCUGUUUGCAUGGAUGUGCUCCUUCUGCGUCCCUUCCUCCUGUCCCCUCCUGUCACAUGCCUCAUGGGAUGACUGUGGUCCAGAAUCCUGCCUGCAAGCAGAGUGGCAGUCAUCCAACGCUCAGAGAACUAAGCUAGAUCUCUGGCUUGGGGCCGCUAGCGGGUUUUACCCAGGCCACUUGCCGUUGUGUUCCUAUAAUUCGCCCCUCUACUUUGCAGCAGGGACCCGGCUCACUGUGACAGAGGACCUGAGCAAGGUGAGUCCGCCCAAGGUCACCUUGUUUGAGCCAUCAGAAGCAGAGAUCGUCGACAAACAAAUGGCUACCCUCGUGUGCCUGGCCAGGGGCUUCUACCCUGACCAUGUGGAACUGAGCUGGUGGGUGAACGGGAAGGAGCUCCGCAGUGGAGUCAGCACAGACCCUCAGCCCUACAAGGAGACCAAUAACAUCACCUACUGCCUGAGCAGCCGCCUGAGGGUCUCUGCAACCUUCUGGCACAAUCAUCGCAACCACUUCCGCUGCCAAGUCCAGUUCUAUGGACUUACAGAUGAAGAUGAGUGGGACAAGCCUUCACCCAAGCCUGUCACCCAGAACGUCAGUGCAGAGGCCCGGGGCCGAGCAGGUAUGUGGGACCUGGGGAGCAGCUGGUAAGAUGAAUGGGCAUCACUAGUGUCAAAGAGAAAUGGAAAAAUAUAAGCAAAAGCCAGAAGGAAGCCCAGAUGCAAAAAACAAACAAACAAACAAACAAAAACGGUGGCAGGGGCCUAAAGUUUGCCAAGAAGAUAAGCUAGACAACCACAGCUAAUCCUAACACCAGAUCCUCAGCCAGCAGCCUUACCUGUGGGGUCUCCUUUCCAUGGCCCUGUGCAGCUCAGCCUCUGAAUCAUUAUCUUUGGUGCCGAAGCCGUGGGUUUCAAGAAUAAUGGGUUUGCAUUGACACAACUGAAGAGAGAGGGUUCUGGGGCCACUUGGAGAGGCAGAUCUGGACCUGUCAAACUGUGCUAGCCUCAAGGCUGGCUUAAUUUUCAGUCUGCUUAAUAAAAAGAGGUCUCAUCCAUUUUCCUGUCUCCCUUUUCUUGCAGAUUGUGGCAUAACCUCAGCAUCCUACCAACAAGGGGUCCUGUCGGCCACCGUCCUUUAUGAGAUCCUGCUGGGGAAAGCCACCCUGUAUGCAGUGCUUGUCAGUACCCUAGUGCUGAUGGCCAUG